AUUGAACGCUGGCGGCAUGCCUUACACAUGCAAGUCGAACGGCAGCACGGACUUCGGUCUGGUGGCGAGUGGCGAACGGGUGAGUAAUGCAUCGGAACGUACCCGGUAGUGGGGGAUAACUACCCGAAAGGGUGGCUAAUACCGCAUAUACUGUGCGCAGGAAAGCAGGGGACCCUCGGGCCUUGUGCUACCGGAGCGGCCGAUGUCAGAUUAGGUAGUUGGUGGGGUAACGGCCUACCAAGCCUGCGAUCUGUAGCGGGUCUGAGAGGAUGAUCCGCCACACUGGGACUGAGACACGGCCCAGACUCCUACGGGAGGCAGCAGUGGGGAAUUUUGGACAAUGGGCGCAAGCCUGAUCCAGCCAUGCCGCGUGAGUGAAGAAGGCCUUCGGGUUGUAAAGCUCUUUCGGACGGAAAGAAAUCGCGCAGGCUAAUACCCUGCGCGGAUGACGGUACCGUCAUAAGAAGCACCGGCUAACUCCGUGCCAGCCGCCGCAGUAA
rnacentral:rRNA from 1 species